GUAUAGUCGUGCUUCAGAAACCCAGUGAUAAGUACCAAGUGUGAACAUAAGUCCUUCGUUCAUGCUAAGGAUAUAUCCAUUUGUAAAUAGCAAUUAGGUACGAAGAGAAACCAGGCUUUGAAUGAGGUAGUAAAAAUUUAAAAUGCUGGAAUAGGAGGUUCUCAUCUGAGCUCAGGUUACUACUUGCGAGAGGAACUCAGGAUGUCGGUGAGAGCUGGAUCCAAGAACGACAUCAGCACACAUGAAAAAAAUCAAAUGGCGUAUGAACUGUUUUUUUCUAAAACAGAUACCAGCUAAAUUUGUUGCUUCAGCACAAACAGCUUGUCGACGCUCCUUCUCUAGGUUCCGGCUUUCGACUGACUGUCACCACCUUCAUCAGCAGGUUAUUUCCUCCCUGUCGGAUCAUGGAGACGACUUGCUUGUGUCCAACCUUCACCACGUUGAUGUUGUUGACCUGUAAAAGAAGACAAAUGCUGUUCAGGUCAGCACUACUCUGCAGGCUGGGUAAUCUAACAUCAGGCAAAUGAUCAUCGCAAGUACUUCCCUUUGGACUUGAAAGCAAUUUGAUGUGGGAAAACUGAGGCGAGGUGAGAUGGCGGGACCAUCAAGGAGCACCCGAAGCUUAGUUGAUGUAAGUGCCAUGCCAAAGGCCAAAUCGAGGCAGAGUGUACUGAUUUAACUGAACUUGAUGUUUGGACGUCGAUUCAGGUGCGAGGCCAGAUUGGACAUCAGGGCCCAAGGCAAGGGAUGGACUGGUUCAGAUUGCUGUUCCAUAAGGUUUACUUGCCUCUGCACUGAAUCAUGGGACUCUCUGGCAGUUCAGAACUGUGAGUUUUUAUUUUCUUUCUGCAUAUUGGGUGUUUGAUGAUCCUUUUAUAUAUGGGUUCUUUUGGGUUUCUUUGUUUCAUGGCUGCCUGUUAGGAAAUGAACCUCAAGGUUGUAUAAUGUAUGCAUAUUUUGAUAAAUGUACUGUAGUUUGCGUGAGAGGUUGCUGUUGAAGCCACCACUCAGCCAGAGUUUCAAUCUCCGUUCUAUAUGCUGAUUCAUUACCAUCUUUGAUUCGGCCUAUGACAGUGGUGUCAUCAGCAAACUUGAAUAAGGCAUUGGAGUUGUGCUUAGCCACACAGUCAUAAGUGCAAAGUGAGUAGAGCAGGCGGUACACCUGUGUUGAUGGAGAUCGUGGAGGAGAUAUUGUUGGCAAUUCAGACUGACUGGUGUCUGCAAGUGAGGAAAUUGAGGAUCCAUUUGCAUGAGGAGGUAAUGGACAGAGUUUAUUUAUUAGUUUUGAGGGGAUGAUAGUAUUGAAUACUGAGCUGUUGUUGAUAAAAGAGCAUUCCGACACAUGUAUCUUUGUUACCCAGCUUUUCUAGGGUUGAGUUCAGAGCAAAUGAGAUGGCAUCUGCUAUGGACCUGUUGCUCUGGUAGGCAAAUUGGAGCAGAGUCAUGUUGUUCCUCAGGCAGGAGUUAAUAUGUUUCAUCACCAUCCUCUCAAAACACUUCAUUGCUGUGGAUGUAAGUGCUGCCAGGUGAUAGACACUGAGGCAGGUUACCACAUUUAUCCUUAGGCACCGGUUAAGUAAGUCUGCUUGAAGUAGGUGGGUACCUCAGAUUGUUGAAGCAAGAGGUUAAAGAUCUGAGUGAAGACUCCAGUCAGUUGAUCAGCACAGGUCUUUAGCACUUAACCAGGUAUCCAGUCUUCGUGGGUUUGCCCUCCUAAAAGCUGCCUAAAUCACAGGAUCAUUGGAGACUGGGGGGAAUUUCUGAUGGUCAAGGCGAGCAUUGAAGGCAUUGGGCUCACCUGGAAGCAAAGCCCUGUUGUCACCUAUGUCAAUAGAUUUAAUUUUACAAGAGGUGAUAGUAUUUAAGCCCUGCCACAACGGUUCAAUCAGGUUUCAUCUGGAAAUGAGAUGGCUUUCCAGAGAUUGCACGUGGACCUCUUGUAACUUUCUUGGUCAUUGGACUUGAAUGCCUCUGAUAUGGCCCUCUGGAUAUCGGAUCUCAUGGUUCAUCUGUAGUUUCUGAUUGGGGAAGACACUGAAUGAUUUUGUGAGGACACACUCACCUCUAACUGUUUUAUCAAAGUCUGUGACAAUCAUGUUGUAUUCAUUUAGAUCCACAGAUGAGUCCUUGAAUACAGCCCAGUCUAGUGACUUGAAGAAAUUCCAUAGCCGCUCCUCUAUCUCCUGCGAUCAGGUCUUCGUUAUCCUAAAAUCUGGAGCUUUGAUCUUUAGGCUGGGCUUGUAGGCAGGUAGAAGGACAGCCAAGUGAUCGGAUAGAUCAAACAUUGUCUAGGCAUGGAACGGCAGGCUUUUCUUGUCAUAAUAUAACAGUGGUCUAGUAUGUUGAGACCUCUGGUGCUGCAGGUUAUUUGCUGGUAGUAACUGGGCAGGGUUUUCUUCAAACAAGCCUGACUGAAGUCCUCAACUAUGAUUUGAAAUGUAUUGUCUCUUAUUUAGAGAUGGCAUCAUGCAGUAUCUUAAGCCCUUCAUUAUAGUUACCACUGGGGGAAUGUAAAUUGCCUCUUUCAUCACGUAAAAAAAUCUUUAUCCUUCUAUGCUAUUAAGGUUAAAGGUAGAUGACUCCACAUUUCUGUAGAAUGAAAUCUUUCUAGAGUUUUAGCUAGUCUAUUAACACAUUAAUAAAACAUAAUACUUUUCCUAAUGCUGAACUUUGUAUCAUGAGAAAAUGUGGACACUCGGAUUUGUCUGAUCGCUGAACUAAUUAGUAAAAAUAUAGAUUAGUUACAAUACCAGUCACAUCCAUGCAGGACACUAUUAGUAUCAUUCUUCCAAUUAUAGCACCAGCCCACUUUUUCUUCUCUGCCUUCUGCAAGUUCGCCAAUUUCCUGCCACAGUCAGUAACUAGCUUUCCAUUCCACAGGCUUCAACCUGUUACUAGAAAUUAUCCAUUAAUAUAACGAGCAUCUAUUAAAUUUCUUGAUAUCAUUCGGUGAUUUCCCCAACCUAUUCAGAGAGGUUUGUCACAAAUAACCUGUCCUAUGAAAAUUAAUCUUAACUAUUUUGAUUUAAUUAAAAACAUUCAAUCAUUAUUUUCUGACAACAGAUGAGUCUAAUCUCUAGUUCACUAUUUUCCCUCUCACACUGAAUCCUGUUUGGAAGUAUGUCAUAGAGUUGCUGAGCUAUACAAAAGAGAAACAGACCCUUAAGCCCAACACUUCUACACUGGCCAUUUCACCUAUCAAUCCUUCUUGCCUGUUUUAACUCCAUAUUCCUUUAUGCCUCGUUUAUUCAAGCACUACUCCAAUGCCUCUUAAAUGCUGUUACUGUUCCUGCCUCUAGUCUUAGACCCACUUUACAUGGGAAACAGACAGUAGCUGUCUAACCUAUCUCAUAGUUUCAAAUGCCACUUAUCUCAGCCUUCCUUGUUCAAGGGAAAACAGAACCAGCCAAUCCAAUCUCUCCUUAUAUUUUAAUCAAAGCAGAAUUCAUAUCAAUCUUUACAGCAUCUAACCAACGACGUGUAGAAUCAUAACACAAUAUCUCAAGUACUACACUCAAUGACACGGCAAAUGAAGCCAUUCGCCUUCUUCACCACACUGUCUAUCUGUGUUGCCACUGUCAGGGAGCUAUGUAUGUGAAGACUAAGGCCUCUUCGUUCAACAACUGCUCCCUGUAUACGUUGUGCCCUGGGUUAAAUUCCAAAACUGUAUCACUUCACACUUGUCCAAACUAAAUUCCUUUUGUCAAUCCCUUGUUCACUUUCACAGUUGAUCUAGAUCCUGUUGUAACUGUAGACAUCUUUCUUUACUGUUCACCAAAUUUUACCGACAUCUGCAAAUUUAUUAAUCAUGCAACCCAUGUUAUCAUUAAUAGACAUACAGUAGUGGAUUUUGUUUAACUGGGACACUUAGGGACUUCAUGACCAGUACAUUUUGGCCCAAUAAAGUGGGCGCCCCAAUUGGAGCUAGUACUUUCCCAGCAUAUGGGCUGAAUAAACUUUUCUCAGGCUUCAAGCCAGGUACAGGUACUGAUUAUAGCCAAUGUUUUGAUAUUAAACUCUGCCAUCUUUGUCAGGGAUGAUGCCUUGCCAUAUCUAGUACAGUGGUAUUUAUUGCCCACGUAGUCCAUUCAUCCAGUUAGGUUACUGCUCUCCCACCUUGUUUACAAUCGAAUUCCAGUUCUUACUUAGAGUGAGGCAAAUGCUUCUUCAGAUACAUUGAUGACACCUUUGUAGUGGACUCCAGGCCCUCCAACAGCUCCACGACCAUCUGAGCAGUAUACAUCCAAAUAUUCAAUUUACGAUGGAGAUAGAGAAGAAUGGUUGCCUCCCGUUCCUGGAUACCCUAAUACAAUGGAAGCCUUGGACACGGCGUCUAUCGGAAACCCACUCAUAUGGACUCAUACCUCAACAGUAACAGCCACCCUCACUCUUCCCAACAUAGAGCGGUUCUUUCUACUUUGAUUAGCCGUGCAAAAACUAUUUCAGGCCUGGGGAGUCUGCCAGAGGAAAUAAAACAAUUAUACAUGACAUUCCUACAGAAUGGCUACAAGGUGAAGGUAAUCACCUUCAAAAGGUCAACAACAAUAACCAGGAAACCUAACACCAAGGAGGAACCUGUCACUACUGCCUAUCUUCCCUAUAUUUCUAUGGUUUCUGGAAGGAUCAUCAGGAUCCUGAAGAAAUACUGGAUUACUACCAUCCACUAACCCAUAAGGAAGCCCAAACCACAGCUUACAUGGGUCAAAGAUGACCUGGGACACAGGACAACUGGCGUCUACAGGAUUCCCUGUGAAUGCGGAGCAGCGUAUAUCAGCCAGACGGGACACAUAGUGGAAACCCAUAUCAAGGAGCACAGGAGGUGUAUCUGUUUGGGUUACACAGAAAAAUCGGCCGCAGCAGAACAUUGCAUUCAGAAUGGCCAUGACGUCAACAACGCAAAACUACUGUGCCACGCUAAUGGAUUUUGGGACUGCCUGGUAAAGGAAGCUAUUGACAUAAAACUAGGGGAAAAGAAUUUUAACAAAGAUGAAGGUCUCGCCCAAGAACUGGAAUUCAACUGUAAGCAUGGUGAGAGAGCAGAAACCUGAUUGAGUGAGGACUAACCAAUCAGGAGGGAUGUAAUAUAGGGGUAUAAAUACCAUCGGACUGGACAUGCCCAGGCAUCAACCCUGAUGAAGAUGGCAGAGUUCGUCAUCGAAACAUCGGUUAUAAUUGAUACCUGUAACCCGCUGGAAACCCAAGGAAAGCUUUUCUUUCAUGGAAAUAGCUUAAAAGGUAUUUAAAAAAAAAGACAAACUAUUGUUUAACUGAGUAACAGAUUAUGUACUUAAUGAAAUACAGGACAAAUUAAAACACUGCCAAUACUACUCCAGUACCUUAAAGCUGUACAUUAGUUCCUAAUAGUAUCUAUGGAAGAAUUCUGUCCUGCCUAAAUUCUUUUUGCUUGUUGAUUUUGCUACCAGAGGCAAGAACACAUUAGACCUCAUUCACUGACAUCUCUGGCAUAUAUAAAGUUGCUCCCAGUUCCCACGUCAGAUUUUCUGACCACUUAUCUUCCUGCAUUCCGCCCACUGAUUGAAUGUGUCAACCUCAGCAUUACAGGACUGUUUUGAAAACACGGACUGGAGCAUGUUCAGAGAGGCAGCUGCCUACAACCAUCAUAUUAACAUUGAUGAAUAUGUGAGAUCUGUGACUAGCUAUAUAGAGAAGCGCACUGAGGACAUCACCAUUAUUAAACACAUCUAGGUGAGGAUCUUCCAGUGAGAUGGCUACGCACUUGGUUGCAGCGAUUUCUACAGGGCCACCCAAAGGCGUUAUUGUCUUUUUUAUGAUCACAAGACCCUGCUGAACAUUAAGAACUUAAGGUUCUGCAAAUCCACCCCUUCAGUGAGUUGCUCAUUGCCAGAGAAACAGAAGGAGCUGGAUUUGGGGCAGUCUGUGCUUCAGAGGAGUCAGUACGAGAAGGCGCUGUGCAGUCUAACAGCAAGUGAUUAUUUUCGUAGCUUUCCUUUUCAUCACAAGACCCUGUUGGACAUUAUUAAUGUGAAAUGUUGCAAGUGCAACUCAGUGAUUUAUUAACGGAUGGCAGGGGAAUUGUGUGGCACUUGAUUGUAGCGGCGACUAGACCAUUGUUUACUUACAGCCACCCAGGAGGGAGGCAUUGAGAAUGAUGUGCUCUACUGGAGUGCCUGGGGUGGUGUAGCAUGACAUCCAUGCUGGAGUCAGGGUUAGCUCUGACAUCCCCCCCAGCGUUCGCUCGGGAGAAGACAAGCAGUACUGUGUUCGAUUGCAGACUGCUGCAACACUCAUGGACUCAGGACCUCGGACUAUAUUUUUUGUGAGACUGGUACACUGCACAACAUCCAAUCCAGAACAGCUGAUCCCCAAGUGGGCUCAAUACCUUAUAUUCCGUUUGGGUAGUCUCUAGACUGAUGGAAUAAACAUCGAUAUCUCAAACUUCCAGUAAUAGCCCCUCUUCACCACUUCCCAUCCCCUUUUCCCUCGCUCACUUUAUCUCCUUGCCUGCCCAACUCCUCGCUCUGGUUUUCCUCCCCUCUUUCCAUGUCCUUCUGUCUCUUUCACCAAUCAAUCAAAUUCCAGGCUCUUCCUUCAUCCCUCCCCCUUCAAGUAUCACCUAUCACCAUGUGUUUCUCUCUCCCUUCCCCCCAACCUUUUAAAUCUACUCCUCAGCUUUUUCUCUCCAGUCUUGCUGAAGGGUUUUGACCCAAAACGUCAACUGUACUCUUUUCCAUAGUCACUGCCUGUCCUGCUGAGUUCCUCCAGCUUUGAUUUCCAGCAUCUGCAGAUUUUCUCUUGUUUACAAUUGGGCCUCACUAAUUUUUUCUUCUUUUUUUGCUCUCCUUGUGCAUACAUAUAUAUAUAUAUGUAUAUAUUUCUUAUUGUAAUCUUGUUUUUAAUUAGCUAUUGCUAUGUACUGCUACCACAAAACAAAACAACAUAUGCUAGUGAUAUUCAACCUGAUUCUGAUAUUAUUAUAUGUACUGUAUAUACAUAUUAAUAUGCACUGUGUCAUUAUACAUAGACUGAGAAUAACUCAUAUUGAAUUGUGUCCCAUUAUUUUUGCUAGGAAUCACAGCAUUCUUUUAGCUUUUAGGUUGUCAGAAUGUGACACUGUAUAUGCAGACAUUAUGACAUUAUUCUCUGCGCCCUUCCAUCCCAUUACUCUGUCAAUAAGAACACAGAAAACCUUUAGAAUUCUCACCAAACUGUAGAUUGUGAUCACUGACUUCAGUCACAUGAUCUUCCUUUCAAUUUCAGUCAUUCAGAAAGAGAAAAAAAUUUCUUGCCUUUCACCAGUUGAUGGUGUUGGUUUUCCCUGCGUAUCUGUGUAACGGAUCAUGGACUAGUUGGUAAACUGUGUAGUUGAUAUCCAGAAUAAUGUUCUCAACUAAGUGAAUUAAGGUCAGUGCCAAUCAAGUUGGCUGAGGGUCAGGGUGAGGAUCUUGGAGUCUGACUAAUGCUUGAAUUUUGCUGUGAGCUCAGCUUCUGCAGUCUUUUACCUUUUUUGGUACUGAUUAUUCAACUCAUUGCUGAUCUGUGGCUGCAGGCCCAGAGAAGUCACUAAAACUCUUCCCACUCUUUCGUUAGUUAACUAGUUACAGCAAAAAGCAGUAAACUCUGAAGAUCAGAAGAGAAAAGACUUGAAUUUAUCAAGUUUAUCUCCAUGGCCUGCUAUAGUAUAUUUCAAAAUAAUGAAGUAUUUUUAAAGUGUAGUCACUGUUGUAACUUGCAAGAUGUAGAAGGUAACUUACAGAGUCUCAAAGACAGCAAUGUGACGUGAUCACCUGUUUCAUUAAUAUUCGUGAAGUAUAAAUUCACGGACAUGACACUAAGUGAACAUUUCUGUUUCACUUUCAGAAUCAGAAUCAGAUUUAUUAUCACCAGCACGUAACAUAAAAUUUGUUCAAUGCAAUACGUAAUCUAGCAGAGAGGAAAAAAAAACAUAAUAAAUAAACAAGUAAAUCAAUUAUGUACAUUGAAUAGAUUUAAAUAAAAAAUGUGCAAAAACAGAAAUACUUUAUAUAAAAAAAAGUGAGUUAGCGUCCAAAGCUUCAAUGUCCAUUUAGGAAUCAGAUGGCAGAGGGGAAGAAGCUGUUCCUGAAUCGCUGAGUGUGUGCCUUCAGGCUUCUGUAUCUCCUACCUGAUGGUAACAGUGAGAAAAGGGCAUGUUCUGGGUGCUGGAGGUCCUUAAUAAUGGACACUGCCUUUCUGAAACACCGCUCCCCAAAGAUGUCCUGGGUACUUUGUAGGCUAGUGCCCAAGAUGGAGCUGACUAGAUUUACAACCUUCUGCAGCUUCUUUUGGUCCUAUGCAGUAACCCCUCCAUACCAGACAGUGAUACAGCCUGUCAGAAUGCUCUCCACCUCUUUGUGAUAAAUGCAAAAGGGGCGAGGCCUCUCUUAUUCAUAUGUACUGGUUCUGUCCGAGCUUGGAGAAAUUUUGGAAAGAUGUCUUCAUAACUUUAUCUUAUAUUCUGAAUCACCACUUAGAACCUAACCCUUUAGUUGCUUUGUUUGGUUUUUUGGGUGAGACAGAUUUACGUUUGAGUUCGACUGAGUGUCGAAUAUUAUCUUUUGCUUCUCUCCUGGCUAAACGUUUAAUCCUCCUUAGAUGGAGAGAUGUUGCCCCGCCCACGCAUGCUCAAUGGCUUAAUGAUAUUAUGUCCUGCUUAGACCUUGAAAAAAUUCAUUAUUCAGUUCUUAAUUCGGAUAUAAAGUUCCAUAAGUUCUGGGAACCUUUUAUUGAGUACUUUCAUAACCUUCCUCUUAACUAAGGUUUUUUUUUGGUCCCUUGCUUUCAGCUCUUUUUUUUGGUAGUAGGCAUUAUUAUCUUCUGUUUUUAAGUGUAUUUACAGUUUUGGGGGUUUGAAUGUCCUGAUUUAUAUUCUCUAUAUUGUGUUGUGGUUGGUCUGGAGUUUUUUUUGUUGUGGGGCUCGGGGAGGAUACUAACUUUACAUGUCUUCAAUUUGGGUGCUUUCUCAAUUAUCUUUUUUGUAUUAUAUUAUUAUUGUAUGUUUAUUUUUGCACUGUAUUAAUGUUCUUCGUUUUGAUUUGGGGUUUUUUUUCUGUUUGUAGCGAUGUAGAAAUGCAUUAAAAAACUAAUUAAAAAAAAGAAUGCUCUCCAUGGUACAUCUAUAGAAGUUUUUGAGUGUAUUUGUUGACAUGCCAAAUCUCUUCAAACUCCUAAUAAAGUAUAGCCACUGCCUUGC